UACGAAGGGGGCUAGCGUUGUUCGGAUUUACUGGGCGUAAAGCGCACGUAGGCGGAUUGAUCAGUCAGGGGUGAAAUCCCAGGGCUCAACCCUGGAACUGCCUUUGAUACUGUCGAUCUGGAGUAUGGAAGAGGUGAGUGGAAUUCCGAGUGUAGAGGUGAAAUUCGUAGAUAUUCGGAGGAACACCAGUGGCGAAGGCGGCUCACUGGUCCAUUACUGACGCUGAGGUGCGAAAGCGUGGGGAGCAAACAGG
rnacentral:rRNA from 1 species